CCCUUAGAUGUUCUGGGCUGCACGCGCGCUACACUGAUGCGAUCAACAAGUUUUUCCUAUGUCGAUAGACACGGGUAAUCUUUUGAACUCGCAUCGUGAUGGGGAUAGAUUAUUGUAAUUAUUAAUCUUCAACGAGGAAUUCCUAGUGGGUGCAAAUCAUCAGUUUGCAUCGAUUACGUCCCUGCCCUUUGUACACACCGCCCGUCGCUGCUACCGAUUGGUUGAUCUGGUGAAUUAUUCGGACUGCCGGCUGAAGGGGUUUCCUCAUCUGCCAGCGGAAAGUCUUGUUAACCCUAUCAACUAGAGGAAGCAGAAGUCGUAACA
rnacentral:rRNA from 1 species